rnacentral:rRNA from 1 species
UACGUAGGGGCCGAGCGUUGUCCGGAGUUAUUGGGCGUAAAGCGCGCGCAGGCGGCCUCGCGCGCCCGACGUGAAAGCCCCCGGCUUAACCGGGGAGGGUCGUUGGGGACGGCGGGGCUUGAGGGCGGGAGAGGUCGGUGGAAUUCCCGGUGUAGUGGUGAAAUGCGUAGAGAUCGGGACGAACACCUGUGGCGAAGGCGGCCGACUGGGCCGACCCUGACGCUGAGGCGCGAAGGCGUGGGGAGCGAACGGG